rnacentral:rRNA from 1 species
UACAGAGGCCUCGAGCGUUUAGGCGGAAUCACUGGGCUUAAAGCGUGUGUAGGCGGAUGGUUAAGUACCUUGUGAAAUCCCACGGGCUCAACCGUGGAACCGCUUGGUAUACUGGUCAUCUUGAGCCACUUAGGGGUUACCGGAACAAAUGGUGGAGCGGUGAAAUGCGUAGAUAUCAUUUGGAACGCCAAUGGUGAAAACAGGGUAACUGGGGAGUGCGCUGA